GCCACCUUAGCUCAGUUGGUAGAGCGAUCGCUUCGUAAGCGAUAGGUCCCCAGUUCAAUCCUGGGAGGUGGCU
rnacentral:tRNA from 2 species